CGGGGGUGGUGUAACUGUGCAAGGCGAGCCAAGCAAACCUCCUCCCUACCCCCCAGCAGCAGCAGGUCACGGGAGUUUGGGGCCGACAAGACAACCUUGGGCCACGGAACACCGACGGGUUAACGACGGAGCGACACAAACUUUAACUACGACAACAACAACAAGAGUUUGUGCAUGAAGCAAGCACAGUACAAUUGCUCUGACGAAACAUCAGGCUGGCAAGCAGACUCUUGGUCGCCAUGCUUUCUCUGUGAAGACAAUCUUGGGUGCUCGUCAAGGGAAACUCACAAUUCAAAGAACAGAUGGCGUCUCUACCAGAGACCGACCGACCAAGAAACAAAACUGCCACUCAUUCGGACGCUGCCCUCCUGUGCCCUUGUCUUCAUCCUACACAUGUAGCGUGAUAUAACAUCUUUCACUUUCUCGCCGGUGGACGGUUUUAGUGUUUUCUUUGUUUUGCUCCGUUACAUUUUUUUUAAACGUACAUUUAUAAGAAAGAAAAAAAAAGCUUGAAAAACGUGGCUUCCUAAAGACCAUUAUCAUUUUAGGCAAUUCAGAAUUAAAAUGCAUUUUGAAUGUGCUGGAGGCACCGGAUUGCUGCCUCUACCUCAAUAUGCCAAUGAAGAGGCGGUGUUCCCGUAGGGACGCUCCCUGGCGCAGGUUCAUUUCGCGGACUUGGCACAGAUUCGGCAAUUAGCGAACGCGCCAGAAUUCUUUCGCGAGUCUUUCCAUAUCGGAUGCUCGUCACGAUUGGCGUAUUACAGAGAUUGCCUUGAACCGUCCAAAAUGUAAAUUGUAUUAACGGACGCCUACAGGACACAGCGUGUGUCCGCGCUAGAGUGCGCUUUCUCAAAAUAAAGGGAAUUAACGCAAUUGCGAUUAAAUUCGUCCUGGUUAAUGAUACAUAGAGGCAAAUCUUCAUCUAAAAUGCAAAUAAAGCGAGCCUCAUGUCUCCCCGCCAUCCCAGCAUGAUUUAUGACUUGAAAAUACCAAGGAACUAAUUAGCGGAGUAAUUAAUUCACACUCAUUUGCAUUUUUGCAUGCGUAAUUAGAACACGGGACUAAUCAUUCUGAAAUGGAAAGUUUCAGUCAUUACGUGUAAUGUUCACUGGGGUGGAAAGAUGCGAUUGACGUGAUUUUUUUUAACAAACAUUAACAUAUACAGUAUUACCGCUAACUUUUUCGUGGCCGUUUUAAUUGCUCAGAAACAUAUUCUACACAGAAAAGGAAUAUUUCAUAGUGGACAUUAAGUAUUAUUUUUGUUUCAAAGAAAGUAUUGCCCAGGGAAUUAAAAAUGCCCCCAAAUAACACAGACUCAUAAUAAGAUUAAUUUCUGCAAGGGGAAUCAAUUUGUAUAGUGGUUCAGGUAAAUCAUUAGGUGCUAUUUAAAGCAAAUAGUCGGGGGAGAUGACAAAUGUAAAAAAUGUAGUCCUCCAGUCAUUAAUUAAUAUUGUGCUCUGUUAGCCAACUCCCAUCAUCUGAGACCUGUUUAGAACCACAGAGCUAUGCAUACGAUUUCCCAAUUUCGGGCCAAAAUAAAUGAGGCGAUAAUUCGCCACCUGAGCAGGUGGCAAACCAACAGCAGCCAGGGUUUUAAUAGCCAGGUUUAUUCUUUCCUCGUAGCAUCGAGUGCUGAGCCGAGGGAUUGUUGUCGUGCGCACUGAGUCGGUCUGUGAGGAAUUGACUGCUCCGGUAAAAGAUGAAACCCAGGAAAUUCUUGUCCAUGAAGCCGCGAUUGAUAUUCUCUAUCCUCAAGGAUGACUAAGAGGAGAGUGAUAGCUUGCUUAUGUUGGGUGCUUUGUUUAAAAGCACGAAUCAACGUCUGUGGUUCUUUUAUUUUUAAUAGAGGUGUGGCUAAAAAGAGGUUUACUGUAAGAUUUUUCGGGGGCAUAUUGAUGGAUUGUUUCGUAGAAAUUAAGGGAAUAAACGAAAAUGACAAAUAAAGCGAUUAAGGUAGGAAAUUACCAAUAAAACACAUUCAAAUCAUUCACAAAUAACAAAAACGCAUUUGUUGACAAGCUAACUCAUAAGUGUAGAAAUAUUGUUCAAUUUGGAUAGCAAUGCACCUAAUGAUUUCAUUGAGCUAAACCCAAAUUAGAAAUGAUGCCCCUCCAGUCCUGAUGUCAAGCUGACCGUAUUGCCCAUGACAGCACCGUAUGUAGGUGACAUAAAGCCAGCACACAUGUGGUAGCACACAUGUGGUAGCACACAUGUGGUAGCACACAUGUGGUAGCACACAUGUGGUAGCACACAUGUGGUAGCACACAUGUGGUAGCACACAUGUGGUAGCACACAUGUGGUAGCACACGUGUCUGAAAUGUGGACGUGAAGAGAUUGAGCCAAUGUGGGACUUCUAUCUCCGAGGCGAGGUGGUGUUUAAAUGGGGCAGUAGCGCAAGUAAAGCUUUAAGGAAGGCCCUCCAGCUUCAUCACACAAGCAACAAUACAUUACAAAAGACCAGACAUCUCAAUAAACAUGCUCAGUACUACUGUGAGUAUAUUAUCCAUUAAUACGAAUUGUCUGCAUCACAGUGGACUUUGAAGAUCCGACGACCUUAUUCGAAAAACAGUCGGCCAUGUGUCUUGGCGUCAUGGUCCAAAAUUACCAAAUUUUAAUAACAUUCUCAAAAUGCAAUAAUUCGAAUUUCCAAUCGCAACAUAGCCCCUCCCCCCUACUGACGGACUAAUGCCCACUUUCAGGCCAGUGCUGUGUCACCUUGUGCUGCACAAGGACAGCUGUCAUCAACAGGCACGGCUCCAGAUCCUCUCGGAUGGCACUACCCAAGCAAGUAUCCCCUCCUUCACUGCUACCGUGGGGGGGCCCACAUCGAAACAUCAACAGACCGAUGCGCACAUUUCAAAUAUGGGAAAUUUAAGACAAACCACAAUGCGAAUGUGUUCCCAUGUAGCUCAAACUUUGGGACCAUAGGGUACACCACUGUAGUACUUCAACAACAAAUUAAAAACUACACGAACUCUCUCUCUCAUGACGCCCGCUCGUGGCUAGCAGACCUCGACGUUGCCAUUUAUCUCCUGAACAUACUGCCAUACGCGUUUACCUCCCUAUCCACAUGGGUUUUUAGUUGGUGAACAAGG